UUUUCCACCGGCGCGGGUCCGGCUUUAGUCCGGAGAGAAGCAGAAACUGCGCUUCAGGGGUUCAGCUCCAGGACACAGCGGUUCCCAGGGCCAGGGACUGGGCUCGGCAGAGGAGGUCAGACCAGCGGUGGCAGGAGUCUCCCACGCCAAGUUAGGAAGGUGCUGACAGAGCCGCCAAGGGAAAGAAGUUUUUUUCCACCCUGGCCUGGCCCGGGAAGGAAGCUGGGAACCUUUCAGCACUAUCGGAGUUUCCACCUGCAUCUUCCCGGGGCGCCCGGGAGGAAGGAAGGAUGCAGGAGGCUCACCCAGACCUACAGGCUGGACUGCGCCUGCAGAACAGGGGAAGGGGCUUUUUAGGAUCCAUCGCUCAUAGUCCCAUAGUUCGGAGGGCAGAGGACAACCUCUUCCCCACCCUGAGCCUCAGGUUUGUCAUCUGGGAAAUACUGAUACCUAAAGUGCAGGAGGCAGGGCAUUGUAUGCAUGGAAUGAGACCACCUGUGAAACCCCACGGUCUUACAAUAGCAUUCACACUUUUCGGUCUGGGAAGGCAGGAAGCCAGUUCCCAGUAGUGAAAUCUAGCUCCUCUGGAAGUUUAGGAUUCUCAGAAUCAGGCAGAUCCAGCGCUGGGGUUGGAGGGACACGGAGGUUAGGGACAAACAUUCAGAGUGAGCAGGGAAUUUGCAAAGGAGCGUCUAUGCAAAUUCUUCUGCCUUUCCCACGUUUAAAAGACAAUUAGGAGGAAGAGGGGAAUUUCAGCAUGGGUUGUGGGGGAGGGUCAGCAGUUCUCUCUGCCUGGUUUUGGAUCAAAUCUAGGUGCACAAGAGCUGAAACUCCACAUGUGACUGAUCCGAGACAGGCUGCUAGAAAGCAAGGCUGCCUCUUUGAAAUACAGGAUCUGCUACACAUGCCUGGGCCACCCACGAGAAAGGGGUGGUUGUGUGCUUGGAGCUCCAGGGGAGGUUUACACUAUCUCAGUGUCUUUCCUGGAGAGAGGGGUAAUACAUUCAUAGAAAUGAGGGCCCUUCAUUUCCCCUUAUUGUCUUCCGGUUUGUUGUGACAUAAGGCAGAUCCUUGGCCCUCACGAUUCAGCCCAAUGGGAGAACGUUCUCUGACUGCCCAGCUCCCCUCAACCGGGAUAAUGAAGUGUUCAGAGUAAAUAUCCCUGAACAAUCCCUUUCUCUCUGUCUUUCACUUGCUAUCAUGAUAGAAGCAGUCAAGUGUAAUGAAGAUCAGUUUCUGGGCUGAGCUGGGAAACCCCAUUAAAAAACCAGCCAUCACUUCCCUUUGAACAACAAGGCUUUGAUUUGUAGUUCUGACUACUGUGUGCCCAGUCGGACUCUCAAGCUUCCUGAUCUCUCAAAAUUCAGGUGUCAGCAAAGCCAUACUUCCCCAAUCCCAAGCUAACUAUCUGAACGUACAGGAAGUUGCACAGAGUACAGGGAAACUUCUGAAGACUUCAGGUACGUCUUCCAGGUAAUCUGGCAAUUCAUAUCCAGCCUCUAACUCUCCUGUCCUUGUAUAUGCCCCCUGGUGCAAAUGGGUGCUUAUCAAGUAACUGCAACUCUAGAUCUGUGAGCCGUCCAAUAUCUACCCCUUCAUGUGGGAAUUUAAAAAGAAAAGGGUCAGUAUCCCAGCAGGUAGUCCUUCAGGAUGUGGGUCAAAAAUGCCAACCAAGUGAAUCAUCUCAUAAAACCCUUUGGUUAAGCUUCCCCCAGAUAGAGGAAGUCAAUACAGUUGAAAUACCCUUGUUUAUGCCUCACACAGGAUAAAGUAGUGCUGGACUGAUAGAGUAGCUCCAUUUUUUUAGAUGGGAAAAUAAGACAUAGGGUAUUUUAAGGAGGUGGCCUGUGAUAAGUUAAUGGGAGGGCUGAGAUUGGGGCUCAGGACUUUUGAGCAUGGCUUUAGGAUGAAAGAGGAAGGUCUCCAGUUUUUACUGCUUUGGGAGAUGGGAAGUUAAAAGGGGGCAUUCUGCGAUUCCACAGCAGAGAAUAGAGGGCAGACACUGGAGUCAAACAGACAUAAAUUUCCAUUCUCCAAUCUGCUUAACCAGCUGUGCAAAUCGGGCACAUUGUAUAAUCUUCCUGAUCUUCUGUUUCCUUAUGUAGAAAAGCACACUAAUACUCUACCGUGCUUUUGUGAAGAUUAAAUGAAUUCGUAAUUGCGGGUUCCUGUAUAUGACAGGUUUAGAAAGACGCAGCACAUCACGAAAAUGUGUGAAAAAGUGAGGCAGCUGAUCUCUUUGGGCUCUUUUAUUUCCAGAUUUUUUUUUUUUUAAGAGUUACUGAAUUUGAAGAAACCACAUUAGGCUCUUCUACUCAAAAAAUGAAUCCACAGCUCAAACACCAAGAUUUUCUAUGGGAAAUACAGUCCCCGAUCCAAGAUAAUUUAAAAUCCACUUGGCUUAUCACUCUGUGAAGGUUUUCCGGACACCGUCUUGGAAAUUUCACACAAUGCAAAUGGGCUUCCUCUGGACUCAGCCUCUCCUGUAACUUCACAGCACAAGUGAUAUUUCUUUUCUGCUCGUGUGUACACUGUCUCCCUCCUACUUUCCAUGAUUACCCAGAUUUGCUUACAGUAGGGAGAGCCUGGUCCUAUCCAUCUUCUGCUGCUCUGCUCUCCAAGGCUUUUGCAUUGAUUCAGGAAAGUCUCUAGAAGGCCUCAAAAUGAAAUCAUCUCUAGAAUAAAACAUAAAUACUUCCUUAUCCUAGUCGGAAGAAGGUUGGGGACCUUAUUGUCAGAGAGCUGUGUUGCAGUCUAGAGAAGAUUCUAGACUGUGGCGUGAAAACCUGAGUCUCCAGCUUUGGGUACAAUGCUCUUUUCUGGAUAACUCUUCACCUCCCAAUAGGCUUGGCUGUGCACCUUCUCCGAUUCUGCCUUUGAAAAAUGGCCAAAUGGUCUGGAUGAACAUUGACGUUCCCUCCCUUUCCUGUGAUUUGAAAUUCCAGAAUUACUAGUGUGUCCAUUUCCAGGCCUUUGGGCAGAUGAUCCCUGAGCUCAGGCUGGAACUCUGGGUAGUGCUGACUGUUGACCAGCCCAAGAGAAAAAGACACCAUGGACAGUCAGCUCCAAGAGGGCAGGGGCUGUCUCACACCUUACUCUUCAAUGCCCGGAGAGGUUGCUCAAUUAAAAACCCUUAUUGAAUAAAUGAACAAGAGAUCAUCUCUGGAUGGUGCCAUUAAGGGUGAUUUUUGUGUCUUUAUUUAUACUUCUCAACUUUCCAAGUUGUCAGCUAUGAAGUUGUAAUUUAAAUACCUUUCCCAGACACAAAAGGGUAUAUACUGUGUGACUCCAUUUAUUUGAUGUUAAAAAGCAGGAAAAGCGAAUUCUUGAUGAUAGAGGUUAAAACCGAGGUGACUUUGUGGGAUGAGUAAUGAGGGAGCUUUUUGGGGGGCUAGAAAGUCCUGUAUCUUGAUUGGGAUGGUAGAUGCCUCAUCAGGCUACACAGUGAGGGUUUGUGCACGUUGUAAAUUAUAACUUAGUAAAAAGUAAGUAAACAGCUCCAAAGUGUAAAAUGUCAACAGUGGCAGCCACCUCCUUACUGCCCCGAGUUUACAGCUGAUGUGUGGCCCUGCAGAUCCCUUCUUAUUCGCCAUAUAGAGUUUACCAUCAUUGAAACUUACAGACUAAUCUAUUCCAGGGGUUGGCAAACAUUUUCUAUAAAAGGUUAGAUGGUAAAUAUUUUAGGCUUUGUGGGCCUGUAGCCUCUGUUACAACUGCUCAACUCUGCUGUUGUAGGCAGUACAUAAAUGCAUACGGAUGGCUGUGCGCCAAUAAAACUAUUUAUAAAAACAA